rnacentral:rRNA from 1 species
GGGGGGACGGAGAAGGCUAUGUUGGCCGGGCGACGGUUGUCCCGGUUUAAGCGUGUAGGCUGGUUUUCCAGGCAAAUCCGGAAAACCAAGGCUGAGGCGUGAUGACGAGGCACUACGGUGCUGAAGCAACAAAUGCCCUGCUUCCAGGAAAAGCCUCUAAGCAUCAGGUAACAUCAAAUCGUACCCCAAACCGACACAGGUGGUCAGGUAGAGAAUACCAAGGCGCUUGAGAGAACUCGGGUGAAGGAACUAGGC